rnacentral:lncRNA from 1 species
GAAGGAAUUGUUCUUUCACGUCCUACAUAAUACUGAAUGCGAUUCAUGACAAUAAUUUUUUUUUCAUUGAGAGGCUAAUAUAAUUUCAAUAUUUAGAGGACAUUGUAAUAUCAAAGAUCCUUAUCGUCAACUCUACCCAUGCCUUUAUUGAGAGUAAUGCCAUUUAAGGACACGAAUUAUCCAGGACUGGAUAAUUUUCUUCAUAUUUGAAUAUAUAGUAAGUAUUUAAAUCUUGAUAAAAACUGAGUAAGAUACUAGAUUAAUAUUGUAACCAUUCUACGCUAUACAACCUUGGUUGGGAAGUUAUGAUAUAAAGUCUUUGUUGGACUAAGACUGGUACAUAAAAAAAGGGAGACUUAGUACUGAUAAUAGGGCACGAGCAAACUAAAAAAUAUACAUUAUUCGCCAGGGGUGCAACUCACUGUCGCUUGAGCUAAUAUCAGGGUAGAUUGCUAAAGGCGGGAAGUAUUUUUUAAGAUUACGUCAAUUGUUGUUUGACGCCAGUAUAUUUAUUAGCUAUUUCAAUAAUAUUUCCUCUUUAAAAAUUGCAAUAUUGCGGUAUUUGAAGGGAAGACUCUCGCCACUAUUCCAAACGUGUCUACCAAGUAGGAUUCAUUUUCAUUUCACGGAGGAAAUUUGACUACUCUGUUUAAGUAUAAGUUCAUCCAAGUAAUGGGAAAACUUUGUAUCGCGCCUGGAUGCCUUAGCAGCUACAUACUAACUAAAUCUGAGAAGAAGGAUCAUCCUUCCGCCAAAAGACGUUUCCAUAUUUCCUCAUAAGGAUAAAGAAAUUGGAGUAAUUAGAAACCCAUGAAAAAAGGCACGUUUUCUUCGGCAUGAUGAGGAUGGAUGAUAAGGGGAAGUUGCAUUGCUGAUGAUUAGUACUAUAUUGAGGCAAAUUUAUUUAAUACCAACGUGUUUUAUUCCUUUUUUUAUAUAAUCUCUUUCAACCAAUCAAAUUCGUUCUUUUUCAACGAUUCCAACAACCCUAGGAAUGACGAAGUCUUUGGAUCAAAGCUCUCUCUUUUAACAAUUAGCCCGUUAGGAGCCUUCAAAAUAUUCUACGACAUGUGACUCGUAAUUUUUAUCUUCCGACUAUAAAAUUCAAUCUGAGGAUACGAACAACUAUCGGCGUAAGAAUAUAUCUAUAAAAAUAAUAAACAAGGAUGCUACACCUACAUAGUUUCCAAACAUGUCCUCCAAUUUUCCAAGCCGGCCAAAAUAGUGAGAAGAAAAGCAUUUCUCCCUUCCAUUCGGAUCUUAAAAGAAAAUAUUAUGAAUAAAAUCCAUGUAUUCGAAAUGGCAGAUACUAUUUAUUCGAUAUCAAAACUAAAUAUAAAACUGGACAGAGCUCGCUUACCCGAUGGGAUUUUAUGAGUGCUUUGACUCCAUUGAUCAGGCAUUGAUAUUUCAUAAUCUAAAAUUUUCGGAUUAACAUGGACUUUUCCAUCAGAUUUUGUGGCAAAGUUAAUUUAGACUUAUCAAUUUUGAAUGUGGUACAAGAACAAGGAACUUUCAUUUCAACUACUGAAAAACAUCAUUGACAAUUAUCACAUUAAUGAGUGUGAUCUUUUAUUGAACAUACCGGGCUAUUUUGAUUCCUUGUCUACUUCCAAUUUUGUUUCUGAAAAUAUUUAAAAAAACUGUUUUAAUCCUCAUCAUCAAUUUUCUGAUGCCCUUCUCUUCCUAAAUUAUGAAAUUGUAUGCGUAGUAUAAAAAUAACUAUUUUUUUAUUAAUUUUCAAUAAUAUUGUAAUAUUCAA